rnacentral:rRNA from 1 species
UGCGUGGAGGAGUGAAGGCCUUCGGGUCGUAAACUCCUGUCAUUCGGGAACAAUUGCCGGUUAGUGAAUAGCUGAUCGGCUUGAUGGUACCGGAAGAGGAAGCCACGGCUAACUCUGUGCCAGCAGCCGCGGUAAUACAGAGGUGGCGAGCGUUGUUCGGAUUUACUGGGCGUAAAGGGUGCGUAGGUGGUUUCGUGUGUCGGAUGUGAAAGCCCACUGCUCAACGGUGGAAAUGCAUCGGAAACUGCGGAACUUGAGUGCAGGAGGGGAGAGCGGAAUUCUUGGUGUAGCGGUGAAAUGCGUUGAUAUCAAGAAGAACACCGGUGGCGUAGGCGGCUCUCUGGAAUGCAACUGACACUGAGGCACGAAAGCUAGGGGAGCAAACAGGAUUAGAUACCCUGGUAGUCCUAGCUGUAAACGGUGUACACUUGGUGUGGGGGGAAUUGACCCCCUCCGUGCCGGAGCUAACGCGUUAAGUGUACCGCCUGGGGAGUACGGCCGCAAGGUUA